rnacentral:rRNA from 1 species
AUUGAACGCUGGCGGAAUGCUUUACACAUGCAAGUCGAACGGCAGCACGGGGCAACCUGGUGGUGAGUGGCGAACGGGUGAGUAAUACAUCGGAACGUGCCCAAUCGUGGGGGAUAACGUAGCGAAAGUUACGCUAAUACCGCAUACGAUCUACGGAUGAAAGCGGGGGAUCGCAAGACAUCGCGCGAAUGGAGCGGCCGAUGGCAGAUUAGGUAGUUGGUGGGGUAAAGGCUCCCCAAGCCAACGAUCUGUAGCUGGUCUGAGAGGACGACCAGCCACACUGGGACUGAGACACGGCCCAGACUCCUACGGGAGGCAGCAGUGGGGAAUUUUGGACAAUGGGCGCAAGCCUGAUCCAGCCAUUCCGCGUGCAGGAUGAAGGCCUUCGGGUUGUAAACUGCUUUUGUACGGAACGAAACGGCUCUCUCUAAUACAGGGGGCUAAUGACGGUACCGUAAGAAUAAGCACCGGCUAACUACGUGCCAGCCGCCGCCGUAAAAC